UAAUUUACGUGGACCCCGACUUAAACAACUUGAAAAACUUAUUUGGGUGUCACCAUUUAGUCAAUUGUACGGAAUAUGUACUGUACUGUGCAAUCAAUCAAUCAAAAUUCAGUAAUUUAUUCUGUCAAAAUUAAAAUAUCAAAUAUAUUUAACCAGACAUUACUUUAUAAAUCCCAGCCUAUCGCAGGCCAGGUAAAUGAAGUAGGGGUCAACAUUAGAAGACGUGUGGGGGCCACAUUAUAAUUUUUUUUAUUUGCAAAAGAACAAAUACAUUUAACCAGAAAGUACUUUAUUUAAACCCAGUGUCAGGUUUAAGCACCGAACUAUCUAUUAAACAGGACAAGAAGCAAGGAAUCAAGCAGAGACAGAUUUCAAUUUUGCUCAUGAGGAGAACGCCUGGAGCUGCACACCCCGUUACAGUCUCCCACCACGCUCUGAGUUACAGCCCUUGCGCCCCCUAUUUUAUUCAGGAGUUCCCUAUAUCGCUGAAGCUGCUUUUAAAGGGAGGGGCCACAUAUGCAAUCAACUCCAGUAGACACAAUACGUGAUUAAUCACAAUGGAAAUGUGCUGAGCCUCGUGAUUUCGCCCCGUCUCUACAUACUUUGUCACCGUUGAGGUACUUGAGGUCCGUCCUUGGCUGUUAGUUAGUAGGCUGAAAGACACAAAACGCUACAGCGAGGAAACUCCUAACUUGCAAUGGAAGAUAACAAGUUAUGUGCCUUUUAAGCAUAAGAGCUGUGUGAUAGCUUAAAAUAUAAUUAUUCUAACACCCAGCCUGAGAUGACAAACCACAUGAAAUGAUGUGGCGGGCCCGAUUUUGCCCCUGAGCCUUGAGUUUGACAGCUGGUGGUGGUUAAUUGCUACCUGUUUUGUGGGCAAAUUAAUUCAUUUUAAAGAAGUAGAAUCUUGUAUACGUGCAAGGAAAAAGCCAGUGUUGACAGUAACUGUAAAAACUUCUAUGCACCAUUGAUGAAUUACUACGAACAAAUGAUCUAUUUUACACUCGGGAAUUUGCUGACUUGUCAAAUGUCUCGAUGUCAGACUUUGACACUUUGCAUAAUUACGACUCAGUGGGUCGAGCAGAACAUAAACAAGAUAAAACAGCUGAUGGCUCAGACUAAAACACACAUGCUCUAAAUUCCUGCUUUCCUUUGUACGCUAUAGGUCUCGAUCAGGACAGCGGAUCAUGGGACUCAGACCAAAGGUCAAUCACACGUCAUCAUCCUAACCUUAAAGAGUAAGCCUGGCCUGGAGCUGCAGAAGAAGAUUAGGCCGCUCGGACGUAAGGAGAGGAUCAUGCAGACCGAGAUUAUAAAGUCACACCUGAAAGUCGGAGGCGUGUGGUGACCGCCAAUGUCUCUGAUGGAAGCCAUGGAGGAGCCAAGAAAGUCGCAGCUGCCUCUUUGACAGCUGCAGGAGGACGCAAGCUCCGCUCAUGUCUCCGCGAGAUUAUAAAGUCACACCUGAAAGUUGGACAGGUGUGGUGACCGCCAGUGUCUCUGAUGGAAGCCAUGGAGGAGCCAAGAAAGUCGCAGCUGCCUCUUUGACAGCUGCAGGAGGACGCAAGCUCCGCUCAUGUCGCCGCGAGAUUAUAAAGUCACACCUGAAAGUCGGAGGCGUGUGGUGAUCGCCAAUGUCUCUGAUGGAAGCCAUGGAGGAGCCAAGAAAGUCGCAGCUGCCUCUUUGACAGCUGCAGGAGGACGCAAGCUCCGCUCAUGUCUCCGCGAGAUUAUAAAGUCACACCUGAAAGUUGGACAGGUGUGGUGACCGCCAGUGUCUCUGAUGGAAGCCAUGGAGGAGCCAAGAAAGUCGCAGCUGCCUCUUUGACAGCUGCAGGAGGACGCAAGCUCCGCUCAUGUCUCCGCGAGAUUAUAAAGUCACACCUGAAAGUCGGAGGCGUGUGGUGACCGCCAAUGUCUCUGAUGGAAGCCAUGCAGGAGCCAAGAAAGUCGCAGCUGCCUCUUUGACAGCUGCAGGAGGACGCAAGCUCCGCUCAUGUCUCCGGUAAGAGCCAACUUAUUACCACUAUUUUUUCACCAAAACCUGCCGGUUGACAUGUGGUAGGGAACCAUGUUCGCUUGAACCAUGUUCUGCUUACCGGAAGUAGCAGACGAUGUGCGCGUGACGUCACUGGUUGUAGGGCUCCUCACAUCCGCACAUUGUUUACAAUCAUGGCCACCAGCAGCUAGAGCAAUUGGGACCGAGAAAGCGACAAUUUCCCCAUUAAUUUGAGCGAGGAUGAAAGAUUCGUGGAUGAGGAUAGUGAGAG